rnacentral:antisense_RNA from 1 species
CGGUUGAACGGACUCACCAGGAAACGUGACUUUCGUGUCCGACCUCUGCUGUAUCAGGAUUCGAUUCUCGGUGUUAAACAAGACAACGCUGAAGGCUCGGUGCAGCAGCCCUGCAAAGGAGUGGAGCCCCAACCCACGCAGGGCGUGUCUUCAUGGCUUUUCCUGGCCAAUCUGAUACCAAGAUGCAGUGGCAGAAGUACCUGCACUUCCACUCCUGUCAAGUCUCUGCAUGGCUAUGGUGAGGAAGAGCUCUGCACUGGGCAAGGAAGUUGGCUGUCGAGUGAAGGAAAUGGUGAUGCUGGUGGCCCCUUUCCUGCAGUCAAGUUCCCUAUCAAGGACAUUCAGUUCUCGGAAAGUGGUGAAGGCACACGCUUCCCUGCAUGGUGCCCGCCUCUCUCCACUCUCUAGAAAUAUUAGAGGCUAGGCUGCUGCUGUAUGUCAGGGCUAGUCCCUCUUCUAUGAAUCCAGAAUAACUCUGAAGAAGCCGAGUAACAGGCAUGAAGUGAAGAGAAAUCGCUGUAACAGGAAGACAGCAAAGCAGAUGCUAAUGACGACACUAUUUAACGAACUGGAACCAACGAGAAAAUACGGUAUUAUUGAAGACUGCACUUCCUUGAACAGAGUGCUCUUCUCAGCAAAUCGGAAAUGCCUACACAAAUCGCUUUACAAGAAGGACUGUUUCAAAGCAGCACCUUUCUCAAUGUUCUCGUUCAGGUGACAGUUCUUCUUGGUCUCAGCUCCAAUUUUAUUGUCAUUUUCAUCAAUAAGGAUACACUUCUCUGCCAGGAGUUGAACCUGUUGCUUGUCGAGGUGGUUAGUGUUUAUUUCAGGCAUCAUUACAAAAUGUCUGAUCUGUUCUAGAACACUAAUAUUAAAGGAAAAGAGAAAGAAAGGC